rnacentral:pre_miRNA from 1 species
UAAAUACUCCCUCCGUUCGGAAUUACUUGUCUCGGAAAUGGAUGUAUCUAGAACUAAAAUACACCUAGAUACAUCCAUUUCUACGACAAGUAAUUCCGAACGGAGAGAGUAUAAG